rnacentral:rRNA from 1 species
UACGUAGGGCGCAAGCGUUAUCCGGAAUUAUUGGGCGUAAAGAGCGUGUAGGCGGCCAUUUAGGUCCGUUGUGAAAACUCGAGGCUCAACCUCGAGACGCCGAUGGAAACCAUGUGGCUAGAGUCCGGAAGAGGAGAGUGGAAUUCCUGGUGUAGCGGUGAAAUGCGCAGAUAUCAGGAAGAACACCCGUGGCUAAGGCGGCUCUCUAGUACGGUACUGACGCUGAGACGCGAAAGCGUGGGGAGCGAACAGG